rnacentral:lncRNA from 1 species
CACGAAUCCUUCUGACUUAUAUGAUACAAUACAAAUUGAAGCUGAAAUUAAUCUCUUUUUCAGUUGUUAGUCAUACUUCGACUAAUUUUGAUUAAGGUAUAAUGUAAUCAUUGACAUCGGAUUGCUUAUUUAGACAAAAAUCAAGUGUUGGGGUGUGCUUUACUUUUGCAUGCAAAGAGAUUUAUGAUUAAUUUAUCUUUAAUAUGUCAUAUAGGAUGGGCACAAAAAAUUGUAGGACACUUGGGCACCUAUGCUUGUAAAUUGAAAGCUUACCAGUGUCGGGUGUAAUGAGACUACCUUAUUUAGUUGAGACCUAGUAUUACCCUUAGCAGAGAUCAAUGGCAGGAAUAGAACCACCCAAGUAAUUAAAACCUUAAACUCGUUGUUUUUGCUAAUCAAAGAGAGUCAUGGAACUUACAGCAUAAGUUCGUUUAUUUACAAGUUUUUAACUUGUUUAUUAGCAUUUUACAUGUUCUAUAGUUAUUGGAAUACCG